rnacentral:rRNA from 1 species
UGGGGAAUCUUGCACAAUGGGGGAAACCCUGAUGCAGCGACGCCGCGUGAACGAUGAAGCCCUUCAGGGUGUAAAGUUCUUUCGACAGGAACGAUAAUGACGGUACCUGGAGAAGAAGCUGCGGCUAACUACGUGCCAGCAGCCGCGGUAAUACGUAGGCAGCGAGCGUUGUUCGGAGUUACUGGGCGUAAAGAGUGCGUAGGCGGCGAGCCAAGUUUGGUGUGAAAUCUCCCGGCUUAACCGGGAGGGUGCGCCGAAAACUGGUUGGCUGGAGUAUGGGAGAGGAAAGCGGAAUUCCUGGUGUAGCGGUGAAAUGCGUAGAUAUCAGGAGGAACACCUGCGGUGUAGACAGCUUUCUGGACCAAAACUGACGCUGAGGCACGAAAGCGUGGGUAGCAAACA